GGGCCCGCACAAGCGGUGGAGUAUGUGGUUUAAUUCGAUGCAACGCGAAGAACCUUACCAGGGUUUGACAUCCUGCGAAUCUCUUGGAAACAGGAGAGUGCCUUCGGGAACGCAGUGACAGGUGGUGCAUGGCUGUCGUCAGCUCGUGUCGUGAGAUGUUGGGUUAAGUCCCGCAACGAGCGCAACCCACGUCUUUAGUUGCCAGCAUUUAGUUGGGCACUCUAGAGAGACUGCCGGUGAUAAACCGGAGGAAGGUGAGGAUGACGUCAAGUCAGCAUGCCCCUUACGACCUGGGCCACACACGUGCUACAAUGGCCGGGACAAAGAGAUGCAAUCUCGCGAGGACAAGCAAAUCCCAUAAACCGUGGCUCAGUUCAGAUCGUAGGCUGCAACUCGCCUACGUGAAGGCGGAAUCGCUAGUAAUCGCAGGUC
rnacentral:rRNA from 1 species